CGGGACGGGGUUGCCUCGGCAUCCCCUUUUCUUCCACAGAUCCUCACCGCAGCGGCCGCUCUGUUCUUCCAUAGACGUGCACCGCGGCAGCGAUUCUGGACCAGCAAGAUAUCCACUGACGGCCUCGAGCUCGACGGCAGGGGGGAGUCGUGCCUGCUGGAUGGAAAUGGUUCUGUGUUCCAAGUGGAGUUCCAAGAUUCCAUGAGUGCACCAGCUCUAGAGAUCGAGAAGGGGGGCGAAGCACAGGAAGCUGGAGAUGGACAGAGAUAUGAGGUGUGCUCUGAAGCUAUGAGCGGCUGGACAUGGAAGUUAGUGUGGUUUUCCCUCAUAUUAGUUUUGCACCUGCUCAGUGUAGUUUUUUCUUGGUCGUGGGUGUACUGGUUAUAUGAUAUUUGGUGGAAAUAGAAUUUUUUGCUGAUGGACACAAACCUUGGCACCGUUGUAGGUGACUUCCCUGGCUGAAAUGUUCACCGUAAUUUGACCGAC